GUGUCAGCAGCCGCGGUAAUACGUAGGGUGCAGGCGUUAAUCGGAAUUACUGGGCGUAAAGCGUGCGCAGGCGGUUCGUUAAGUUCGAUGUGAAAGCCCCGGGCUCAACCUGGGAACUGCAUUGGAAACUGGCGAGCUUGAGUAUGGCAGAGGGGGGUGGAAUUCCGCGUGUAGCAGUGAAAUGCGUAGAGAUGCGGAGGAACACCGAUGGCGAAGGCAGCCCCCUGGGCCAAUACUGACGCUCAGGCACGAAAGCGUGGGGAGCAAACAGGAUUAGAAACCCCGGUAGUCC
rnacentral:rRNA from 1 species